rnacentral:misc_RNA from 1 species
GCAAAAGUUAUGAAUAUUUGCAAGUUGUAAGCAUAUGGAUCCCAUAUCUUCUCUUCCUUCAAAGAGUUAGGUGGUGUGAGAAGAGUUCCUUUAUGAAGUAUGUUCAUAGUUUUAGCAAAAAUUCAUGUAUAAUCAUUUAAAACUGUAAAUUCAAAGUUUAGCUACUCAUAAAUAUUUCUUUGUAGAAAAAGAAAAUUUUAUUGGAGGAGGAAUUCAAAAUGAAAACAAGAAACAAUAACUAAAGACAUUAAGGAAUACACAGG